GUAGAAAUCAUUCGCGGCAAAAACGUAAAUAAGAAAAAGAUUCACGAUAUAAAAAAUCAAUAACGAUAACGGAGUGAAGUUUAACGGCGAAUCUGCCGACGGAGCCGAGCGGAUAGGGCGAAGCCGUACUAACAGAGCUUGUCGGAAAAAAAAACUAUUUAUCGCUGCUAAUUUUCCGUACACUGUUCCACGCAAUCCAACCAUCUUCAGAACCUGUUCUUCUUGACAGUAUCAAUGAAUCUCUGCUUUGUGAGAUCGUUUCUUGAGAUAUACUCAAGAAAAUCGUUAAAGCUGAAAUCUCCAUAAGCAGCUGGUUUGUCUUCAUUGACGAGCUGAGGUGCUGGACUUAUCUUCGUGUUCAUUGGUAAGCUGUGAAGGCUCGCGAAAGAGAGGCGGUUGACAUCUUUGUUCACUGUUACUCGAUGAACCACGCUCUUGUACACGCCAUUGCUCAUCACUUCAACCUGAUCUCCCAGCUGCACUAUCAAAGCUCCUUCGAUGUACGGCACACAGAUCCAGUUGUUGUUUCUGUCCUUUAUCUGAAGCCCCUGGCUGCUCUGGAGUAAGAUGGUCAGUGAGCUGAAGUCCGAGUGUGGUGGCAUCCCCAAGGCAAUCUCGGGUUCUGGACACGCUGGGUAGCAGUUCACCGCCAUGACUUGUGACCCUUCUUCGAGUUCUUCUUGUUUACUUACUUGUAGCAUGGAGGGUUGGAUGGCCAGAGAUCGAUCCACUUUGAGAGAGGAUGGGAGUAAUGUUUGAUGAAGUCUCUCCAGUAAUGAACACUGUCCGUUGAAUGGUUUAUGCUGGUGCCAUAUCUUACUGGCGUAUGAACAUCAUCAGAAACCAGAAGCAUCUUCUCAUCGGCAGGCCAUUUCAAUCUCAUGGAUGACACUGGGUCGAAGCAGAGGAUCAUGUAAGAAGGAGAGAUCAAUGACGGGAAGAUUGAUGCUACCAGUGCCAAUGCUUGGAGUGAGAACUGGUCGUUGUGAAGGAGGAAGAAUGUAACGGGUAGGCACAUUAGGGACACCUGACUCUGUAAGUGCCAUAGCACUAGUAAAGCAAUCACCAAGCACAUUUUUAUUUGUUUUCUCCAUUUCUUUUUGCAAGAAUCUGUUUUGGUACUUUAGGACCUAACCUUGUCUCCCUACUUAUAGUAAGCAGGCAUGCAAAGCGUGUUCUUAUAUACACAUGAAGAUAACAUGGUCUUUAUUUUAAAAGGGAACAAAGAAGACAAAGAGAGAAAGUGGUGAGAUUCAAUGGAAGGAGAAAUAUGGAAAUGCAAAAGAAAAGAAAAAAUAAUAAGUGGUGACAAGUUGAGAGACAAAUACAACUUGGCGGCUCCAGUUUCAAAUCUGCAUAGUAAUGUCUCAAAACAAUGGGAUUGGAGAUGCUCGGUUAAACAGAGACAGACUGGAGAGAGAGUGAACAAACAUGUUGCUACUUGGCAAAAACAACAGUUGUUUACUUGUUCUAUAAGACCAGCAUUUCUAGAAUCAUUUGAAUAACUAAUAUAGUAAUAUAUGAAUGUGGAAAAUGUCAACAUUUUACAUUUUUUCUGACAUUACUCAGAGAAUCCAUUGUUAGAGAAAUGAUUGGUUUUCUUAAAAAUAACUAUUUUGUGAAAGUCAAAUUAAUAGUAAUACUUCUU